GAGGGUAUAGCUCAAUAGUAGAGUGCGUGCUUGAUAUAUAUGAGCUCCUAGGUUUGAUUCCCAGUACCUCCA
rnacentral:tRNA from 1 species